UAACGGUAAGGGUUUCAAAAAGGCAAAAAAAAAAAAGGGAAACGCCUCAAAUCUCGCCGAAAAUCGUGAGAUUUCCGGUGAGGCAUGCCUUGCCAGCCAGGGCGUAUUAAUGCGCAUUAAACCCUAGGUACCUUAGUAGCCGUCUUUUCCUUUUUGAGUCACUGUCAUACCUGUGAGGGAGGAGCCGAAGGGUUUAGGUGAGGGAUCAAAAAUGUCGCUAGACUUCAGAUCGGGUUGGGAGAUCAAUAACGCAGCAAGCUUUAGGUAGGAGCAGGCGCUAGUGUACGUCGGGCAAGGAGGGACAAACGCGCCACCAGAGAUGGACGAACGACGACGCUUCCACAGGUGACAGUACCCAAGCCCGCGAUAAGGGCUAUUGAGGCGUUCGGGCGAGGAAGACGAAGCAGCGGGUGCGGGUCAACCCUCGGCAUUCCGCGGUUCGUCUCAGCUGGCGUGCAGCCCACACCUCGCAGGCCGCACUCGGACACCACCAUUGGGCCACGUUCCUUUUCGGCCCAAACCAGAGGCGCGCCCAGAAACCCGUUGCCGUUAGGGUUCUUCGCAGCCCGUCGGUUUCGGCUCUACCAGCGGCUCGGCUAGGUCGGCUGGGUAGUGCGGCUUGGCGGCGCGGCUCGGUGGCUCGACAUCCAAACAGUAUACCGAUAUCUAGGUUUUUGACCCUUCUGGAGCCAUUCCCACCCUUGUUUCAGCCAUCUGAGGAGGUAGUUAGGCGCCGGAGUUAGCAUUGUGGGUGACUUCGGCCAAGGCCAAGGAGGUAAGGGCAAGGCUCCCAUGUACGGCUGACGGUGGAAGCUGCGAAGGCCAUGGAAAUCUUAAGGAGAGUUAGUGUCGUAGGCGCCUUGUUGGAUUCUUUUGGGUUCAUAGUUAUUGCAAUUGUUUCCUCUAGUUCUCUGUUGAUUAUUUCUAGGUUAGGUUGUCGUUAUUGACUUCCCCAGGUAUGAACUGCUUAUAAUAAUGAACGCAUUGUUGUUAUUGAGACUGUCUUACGUGAA